CCCCGAGCACACACUCCAUAAAGCCGAGCAGAGAGCGACACACACACACUCACCCAGCAGAAGAUCAUAGAUACAGUUUAGACUACAGUGACCAGAGCUGCACUGAUCUUUGUCUGAUUUUACGAAGAUGGUCUUUAAUGGUUUGAGCACAAGAUUUCCCCAAAAGGAUUAUAUAUUUCCUGAAGGCACGCACUGACACAUUAUUCUUCGAGGAAUUGCCAUCUAAAUGAUAGUGCCUAAAAUAAGGGCUGAAGGUCACCUUUAAUUUACGUCUGGAAGCAGGUGAGAAAACGCAUUUCUGCCUUUGAAGGACAUGUAAUUCAACAUAAACGAGCUCUCGGGCUUGUGGAUGACCAUGGGAUAUGAUAUUUGAUUGGAGGAAAAGUGGAAGCGGAUCAAAAGAUAUGGAUAUACUGAAUAUUGAGCUAUAAUUCAGCGAACUAAAUGUUUGUCUCAUUUUGAAGUGUCAAUCUUGUGCGUAAAACGCGCGUCUCCAAAAGCGCGUCAGGAAUAUUCUUCAUUAAAUCUUAUUAAGUUCGCAAGAUAAUUACUGUACUACACGACUGUACACGAUUUUAUCUUGUAUGUUACAAGCAUAUAACCUUAUAACAAUUAUUUGUUCCCAAAACGUUCUGGGAGGGUUGAUAUUUGGUUUCCAGAACGUUUGUUUUUAGAUUGGGCUAUUUAAAUAAACUUUAACGACAAGAUGAA